rnacentral:tRNA from 1 species
UAGAUAGAAGAUACUCUCUCGGUUUCGGCCCGAAAAUAGGCUUUAAAGCCCUGUCUAA